rnacentral:rRNA from 1 species
CUUAUGCGUUGUUGGGUAGGGGAGCGUUCUGUAAGCCUGUGAAGGUGUGCUGUGAGGUAUGCUGGAGGUAUCAGAAGUGCGAAUGCUGACAUAAGUAACGAUAAAGCGGGUGAAAAGCCCGCUCGCCGGAAGACCAAGGGUUCCUGUCCAACGUUAAUCGGGGCAGGGUGAGUCGACCCCUAAGGCGAGGCCGAAAGGCGUAGUCGAUGGGAAACAGGUUAAUAUUCCUGUACUUGGUGUUACUGCGAAGGGGGGACGGAGAAGGCUAUGUUGGCCGGGCGACGGUUGUCCCGGUUUAAGCGUGUAGGCUGGUUUUCCAGGCAAAUCCGGAAAAUCAAGGCUGAGGCGUGAUGACGAGGCACUACGGUGCUGAAGCAACAAAUGCCCUGCUUCCAGGAAAAGCCUCUAAGCAUCAGGUAACAUCAAAUCGUACCCCAAACCGACACAGGUGGUCAGGUAGAGAAUACCAAGGCGCUUGAGAGAACUCGGGUGAAGGAACUAGGCAAAAUGGUGCCGUAACUUCGGGAGAAGGCACGCUGAUAUGUAGGUGAAGCGACUUGCUCGUGGAGCUGAAAUCAGUCGAAGAUACCAGCUGGCUGCAACUGUUUAUUAAAAACACAGCACUGUGCAAACACGAAAGUGGACGUAUACGGUGUGACGCCUGCCCGGUGCCGGAAGGUUAAUUGAUGGGGUCAGCGCAAGCGAAGCUCUUGAUCGAAGCCCCGGUAAACGGCGGCCGUAACUAUAACGGUCCUAAGGUAGCGAAAUUCCUUGUCGGGUAAGUUCCGACCUGCACGAAUGGCGUAAUGAUGGCCAGGCUGUCUCCACCCGAGACUCAGUGAAAUUGAACUCGCUGUGAAGAUGCAGUGUACCCGCGGCAAGACGGAAAGACCCCGUGAACCUUUACUAUAGCUUGACACUGAACAUUGAGCCUUGAUGUGUAGGAUAGGUGGGAGGCUUUGAAGUGUGGACGCCAGUCUGCAUGGAGCCGACCUUGAAAUACCACCCUUUAAUGUUUGAUGUUCUAACGUUGACCCGUAAUCCGGGUUGCGGACAGUGUCUGGUGGGUAGUUUGACUGGGGCGGUCUCCUCCUAAAGAGUAACGGAGGAGCACGAAGGUUGGCUAAUCCUGGUCGGACAUCAGGAGGUUAGUGCAAUGGCAUAAGCCAGCUUGACUGCGAGCGUGACGGCGCGAGCAGGUGCGAAAGCAGGUCAUAGUGAUCCGGUGGUUCUGAAUGGAAGGGCCAUCGCUCAACGGAUAAAAGGUACUCCGGGGAUAACAGGCUGAUACCGCCCAAGAGUUCAUAUCGACGGCGGUGUUUGGCACCUCGAUGUCGGCUCAUCACAUCCUGGGGCUGAAGUAGGUCCCAAGGGUAUGGCUGUUCGCCAUUUAAAGUGGUACGCGAGCUGGGUUUAGAACGUCGUGAGACAGUUCGGUCCCUAUCUGCCGUGGGCGCUGGAGAACUGAGGGGGGCUGCUCCUAGUACGAGAGGACCGGAGUGGACGCAUCACUGGUGUUCGGGUUGUCAUGCCAAUGGCACUGCCCGGUAGCUAAAUGCGGAAGAGAUAAGUGCUGAAAGCAUCUAAGCACGAAACUUGCCCCGAGAUGAGUUCUCCCUGACCCUUUAAGGGUCCUGAAGGAACGUUGAAGACGACGACGUUGAUAGGCCGGGUGUGUAAGCGCAGCGAUGCGUUGAGCUAACCGGUACUAAUGAACCGUGAGGCUUAACCUUACAACGCCGAAG